rnacentral:rRNA from 1 species
CUCAUUCCGAACCCAGAAGAUAAGCCCGUCAGCGUUCUUUGCUGUACUGCGUUGCGCGAGCACUCGGGAACCAAAGAUCGCUGCUAUGC